UACGUAGGGGGCAAGCGUUGUCCGGAAUUAUUGGGCGUAAAGAGCGUGUAGGCGGCCAGAUAAGUCCGCUGUGAAAUCUCGAGGCUCAACUUCGAGCUGUCGGUGGAAACUAUCUGGCUAGAGUCCGGAAGAGGAGAAUGGAAUUCCGGGUGUAGCGGUGGAAUGCGUAGAGAUCCGGAAGAACACCGGUGGCGAAGGCGGCUUCCUGGACCGAUACUGACGCUGAGGCGCGAAAGCUAGGGGAGCAAACGGG
rnacentral:rRNA from 1 species